GACGAACGCUGGCGGCGUGCUUAACACAUGCAAGUCGAACGGUAAGGCCUUUCGAGGUCGUACUAGUGGCUAACGGGUGAGUAACACGUGAGCAACCCACCCUUGACUUCUUAUUACCAGCUGGAAACGGCUGCUAAUAUCGGCUAUUACCCCAGACCUCCUGGACUGGGGUGGAAAGCACCGGCGGGCAGGGGUGGGCUCGCGGCCUAAAAGCUUGUUUGUGAGGUAAUGGCUAUCCAAGGCUUCGACGGGUAGCCGGCCUCUGGGGGCGACCGGCCACACUGGGUCCUACGGGCGGCCGAGGCUGCUAAGGGAGGCAGCUGUGCGGAAUAUUGCACAAUGGGCGCCACCCUGAUGCAGCAGGGCCGCGUGUGGGAUGACCGCCUUCUGGUGGAAAACCGCUUUCAGUAGGGACGAAGCCACAAGUGACGGUACCUAAAGAAGAAGCACCGGCUAACUACGUG
rnacentral:rRNA from 1 species